CAUUGCUGGAACGCGCCUCGGCGCACCCAGAAACCCUUUGUGAACUUAUACCUUACUGUUGCCUCGGCGUCAGGCCGGCCCCCCCCCGCGGGGGCCCCUCGGUGACGAGGAGCAGCCCGCCGGCGGCCAAGUUAACUCUUGUUUUUACACUGAAACUCUGAGAAUUAAACAUAAAUGAAUCAAAACUUUCAACAACGGAUCUCUUGGUUCUGGCAUCGAUGAAGAACGCAGCGAAAUGCGAUAAGUAAUGUGAAUUGCAGAAUUCAGUGAAUCAUCGAAUCUUUGAACGCACAUUGCGCCCUCUGGUAUUCCGGAGGGCAUGCCUGUUCGAGCGUCAUUUCAACCCUCAAGCCUGGCUUGGUGAUGGGGCACUGCUCCGCGAGGAGCAGGCCCUGAAAUCUAGUGGCGAGCUCGCCAGGACCCCGAGCGUAGUAGUUAAACCCUCGCUCUGGAAGGCCCUGGCGGUGCCCUGCCGUUAAACCCCCAACUUCUGAAAAUUUGAC
rnacentral:rRNA from 1 species